rnacentral:rRNA from 1 species
GAUGAGCCCGCGUACCAUUAGCUAGUUGGUGGGGUAAGAGCCUACCAAGGCGACGAUGGUUAGCUGGUCUGAGAGGAUGAUCAGCCACACUGGAACUGGAACACGGUCCAGACUCCUACGGGAGGCAGCAGUGAGGAAUUUUGCGCAAUGGGGGAAACCCUGACGCAGCAACGCCGCGUGAGUGAAGAAGGCCUUCGGGUCGUAAAGCUCUGUCAAGAGGGAAGGAAGAGGGAUGCAGUAACACUGUAUUUUUUUGACGGUACCUCUGAAGGAAGCACCGGCUAACUCCGUGCCAGCAGCCGCGGUAAUACGGGGGGUGCAAGCGUUAUUCGGAUUUAUUGGGCGUAAAGAGCGCGUAGGCGGUUUAUCAAGUCAGAUGUGAAAGCCCUGGGCUCAACCUGGGAAGUGCAUUUGAAACUAGUAGACUUGAGUAUGGGAGAGGGGAGUGGAAUUCCUGGUGUAGAGGUGAAAUUCGUAGAUAUCAGGAGGAACACCGGUGGCGAAGGCGACUUCCUGGACCAAUACUGACGCUGAGGCGCGAAGGCGUGGGGAGCAAACAGGAUUAGAUACCCUGGUAGUCCACGCAGUAAA